rnacentral:rRNA from 1 species
UACAGAGGGUGCAAGCGUUAAUCGGAAUUACUGGGCGUAAAGCGUGCGCAGGCGGUUUUGUAAGUCUGUCGUGAAAUCCCCCGGGCUCAACCUGGGGAAUUGCGAUGGAGACUGCAAGGCUAGAAUCUGGCAGAGGGGGGUAGAAUUCCACGUGUGAGCAGUGAAAUGCGUAGAGAUGUGGAGGAACACCGAUGGCGAAGGCAGCCCCCUGGGUCAA